AGACGUCUACAUUAGAUACCCGCGUAGUCCCAGCCGUAAACUAUGCGCGUUAGGUGUAUCGGUAACCACGAGUUACCGAGGUGCCGAAGGGAAACCGUGAAACGUGCCGCCUGGGAAGUACGGUCGCAAGGCUGAAACUUAAAGGAAUUGGCGGGGAGCACCACAACGGGUGGAGCCUGCGGUUUAAUUGGACUCAACGCCGGGAAGCUCACCGGAUAAGACAGCGGAAUGAUUGCCGGGCUGAAGACUCUGCAUGACUAGCUG
rnacentral:rRNA from 1 species